UGAUGGAGGGGGAUAACUACUGGAAACGGUAGCUAAUACCGCAUAAUGUCGCAAGACCAAAGUGGGGGACCUUCGGGCCUCAUGCCAUCAGAUGUGCCCAGAUGGGAUUAGCUAGUAGGUGGGGUAAUGGCUCACCUAGGCGACGAUCCCUAGCUGGUCUGAGAGGAUGACCAGCCACACUGGAACUGAGACACGGUCCAGACUCCUACGGGAGGCAGCAGUGGGGAAUAUUGCACAAUGGGCGCAAGCCUGAUG
rnacentral:rRNA from 1 species